UACGUAGGGUGCUAGCGUUGUCCGGAAUUAUUGGGCGUAAAGAGCUUGUAGGCGGUUUGUCGCGUCUGCCGUGAAAUUUCGGGGCUCAACCCCGAACUUGCGGUGGGUACGGGCAGACUAGAGUGUGGUAGGGGAGACUGGAAUUCCUGGUGUAGCGGUGAAAUGCGCAGAUAUCAGGAGGAACACCGAUGGCGAAGGCAGGUCUCUGGGCCGAUACUGACGCUGAGGAGCGGAAGCGUGGGGAGCGAACAGG
rnacentral:rRNA from 1 species